ensembl:lncRNA novel transcript
CAACCCAGGCUUCUCCAGACCUAGUAAUGCUGAUGCCACACACCCAACUACCACUCCCCUGGGGGAAGCUGCUCCCCAACUCCCAAGCUCAGAGAGAAAGGAAGAAGGGGCAGUGGAUGAGAAGAGGAUGUGAUGAGGGGAGCUUCCUAAAGACCC